rnacentral:precursor_RNA from 7 species
UGAGCAACUCUACAUGUACCUGCUCAGAGCACAUACUUCUUUAUGUACCCAUAUGAACAUACAAUGCUAUGGAAUGUAAAGAAGUAUGUAUUUUUGGCAGGCGCAGAACGACCAGUAAGAG